rnacentral:rRNA from 1 species
UACGAAGGGGGCUAGCGUUGCUCGGAAUCACUGGGCGUAAAGGGUGCGUAGGCGGGUCUUUAAGUCAGGGGUGAAAUCCUGGAGCUCAACUCCAGAACUGCCUUUGAUACUGGGGGUCUUGAGUUCGGGAGAGGUGAGUGGAACUGCGAGUGUAGAGGUGAAAUUCGUAGAUAUUCGCAAGAACACCAGUGGUGAAGGCGGCUCACUGGCCCGAUACUGACGCUGAGGCGCGAAAGCGUGGGGAGCAAACAGG